AUAUAUAUACAUAAGAGCUUAGUGUUAUCACUGCUACUAGCAUAUCAGAUAAUUCCCCCACAAGUUAUUAAAUGCAUGAUCUAUUUAAACUGCAAUAAAAUGCAAGAUAAUUGGUGGCUUUGAGAAUGUAUAUAUUCAAACAUGAAGAAAAAUGGCAUCAGCAACUUGCACUGUUUAGAUAACACUAAUAGUUUGGAAAAAUAUACAUGGAUUAUAUAUAAUAUCACAUAAAAAAUUGAAUACAAGUGAAAAAGGGUGUUGGGUAAGAGAAGGCUGCAAGUUGAAAUAUUUAAUAGAGUCAAUAAAAC